UUGAAAUCUGGCACUUUCAGUGUCCGAGUUGUAAUUUGAAGAAGGUAUCUUUGGGUCUGGCUCUUGUCUAUGUUUCUUGGAACAGAACGUCACAGAGGGUGAGAAUCCCGUGCGAUGAGAUGUCCCAGACCUAUGUAAAGUUCCUUCGAAGAGUCGAGUUGUUUGGGAAUGCAGCUCUAAGUGGGUGGUAAAUUCCAUCUAAAGCUAAAUAUUGGCGAGAGACCGAUAGCGAACAAGUACAGUGAUGGAAAGAUGAAAAGAACUUUGAAAAGAGAGUGAAAAAGUACGUGAAAUUGUUGAAAGGGAAGGGCUUGAGAUCAGACUUGGUAUUUUGUAUGUUACUCUCUCGGGGGUGGCCUCUACAGUUUACCGGGCCAGCAUCAGUUUGAGCGGUAGGAUAAGUGCAAAGAAAUGUGGCACUGCUUCGGUAGUGUGUUAUAGUCUUUGUCGAUACUGCCAGCUUAGACUGAGGACUGCGGCUUCGGCCUAGGAUGUUGGCAUAAUGAUCUUAAGUCGCCCGCUG
rnacentral:rRNA from 1 species